GCUGCAAGAAUUCAAGAGGUAAAGCUUUUUCCCCCUCAAUUCAUUUCUCCCAUCAAUUAUGUAAUCACCAUUUCCUCUACAUUCUUUACAGAACCAAAGCUAGCAACAUUGCAAACAAAUCCUAGAUAAUUCUUAAAAGGUUCUACCUUUUAAUUUCCCUACUUAAUUCAUCUAUGCUUAACAUCACAAUAUGAGUAAAACCAACAUCAAUGCAUAAACUGAUAUGCUAGAUACUACAAUGAGGUGUUCUUGCUACAUAUGUUGAUAUAGAAAAAAAUAUCUAAAUGAAAUAGAAAAGAAGAGGAAUUUAUGAACUAGAAAAUGUGAAUAGGAACUUGCUGCAUUUUUGUUGCGUUGUGUAUGAGUCGGGUCGAGUCAGGGUGGCAACGGUGGUGGCUUUUAGCUGCUGUUGUCUGCCGGAGUCACGGAGGGAGGAAAGGAGCCGGUGAGGGCGGUGGCUCGGUGCCACUGUUGCUACCGGCCGAAAUGCGUAGAGAGAGAGAGGAGGCGGAGAAAGCUGUUGCUGCUGUCGUCCGACAGAUAUAGAUAAAGAGAGAGGGUGAAGACGGUGGUCUUCGCCGUCUGGAGGCGGCGCUUGGCGCAGUCGCCGGAGAACCGAGGCUAGAGGUGGUAGAUUUUGGGGAUCUAGGGUUUCAGUGUGAUUCAGAGAGAGAGGAAGGUUAGGAGAAAGGGGGAGGCGAUUGGCGACUUUGGGCGUAAGGUGGUGGUUGGCUUUGCUAGCCGCUGCGGCCGCCGGAUUUCAGCGGGAGGCGGAGGCUGGAGGUGGUGCGUCGUGUGUGGGAUUUCUCGGGUGCGUGUGUAUGAUGCGUGUGAGAGGCGAGAGAGAGGAAGAUCGGAGAGAGAGGACGAGGGAGAAGGGAGUCAAGGGGGGAGGCGGCGGCAGAAAGGGGAGCCGGUGGAGGGAGGGUGUGUCUGGCAUGUGUGGUGUCUGUGUCGUGUGUGUGUUCU